GCAGCACAGCACGUGCGAAUUUCUGAUUGGACUGCUGCAGCAAAGACUCGCGCGCUAGAGUGACGCGAUGAUGAACAACGCUUGUAAGAAAACAACACAUCCGGAUUAUAGUUUAAUUUAUAAUUUUGAGGAAAACCCACUAGAACCAUGUGCAUACAACGAAUAAAUCGACCUAAUCAGACAUUCCACCAUGAGACUGAACUCCAGUCCGCUGAAGUGUAAUACUGGAAAUAAAUGCACACAGGAGUAUGGCCAGCUCAACCACAAACUGGAUUUGAGCUUAUGAGAUCAUAAAGCCCGAGGUCACAGGUCAUCCCACUGUUUAUUCUACCCACAACGGGGAACGAUGGCGCCAUCAUGAAAGAAAACUGCUUUAGGAACUUAAAGGAAUGAAUGAACCAGGAAUGAAGUCGUAUUGUUGCUCCAGGCUACAGUCUCCCUUCAUAGUCCUCAACCAGAUGAUCAAAAAGGCCGUGAUUUGUCUAUCCCAGGUCCCAGAGAUCUACAUUCUUAGAUUUAUUGUGUGCAGCAACUUCGCCUAGAGGAGUCAAGUUUUCCCUGGUGAAAUGCAGCGAGAGGACAAGACGGCAGUGCAAAUUCCCUGGAUAGGGUUGCAGAGGCGACAUAAAAGAGCCUUAGAUCUGGUAGCGGGGUUAUUAUGGGCUGUGAAUCGGAAUCAAAAGGCCAUUUUAAAGCUGUCACAUGACCCCCAGGGCCAUGUCGCCACAUCGCGUCGAAGACAUUUCCUUCCAGCAUCUUCCCUAGAGACAAGUCAAACAAGACCUCACCCAGACACACUGAGAAUCUUAGACAUUGGGGACGAGCGAUGCAGACAGACAAGCAGAGCCUCGAUGCUAGUUUAGUUUAAAUGAAGAGAAUGCUAAAAAUGACUUCCUCUUGAAGCCGUUUGAUGUGACUAGUAAUGGAGUAGUUCUCAGAUCUCACGACAUUCUGUUGCUGUAAUGGACCCCAUUUUUGUAAUCACUACAUUAAGUAGCUCAAUGGCACAUUUACAUGUCAGGAUUUGCAUACGCACGAUUGGAUUUACAUAGAUAACUGUGGAUAAGUGGUCGAGGGUCACUUAUUCCUCACAUCAGGUUCUGACAAGGCUGUUAAACCAACGUGUCCCCCCCUUGAAAGUGAGAUGUAGAUUUAUAAAGCCUUGUUAUCUUAGACUUGUGUUCGUUCAUUUAAAUGCACCAUGAGGGAAUGGUGCUUUUUAAUAAACACUAGGCACCUAGGGUUUGUUUUGCUGUCAGAAACAGAUAUGCAUCUUGUUCAAAGAGACAUAAUGUUUUCUUUGGUCCUGUGCCAUGGAAAACAACCAUUUAACACCAAACUAUUAUCAGUAUCUUCUGCACUAAAUUAAAGGUAAACAAUAUUGGCUAUUAACUUUUUUUUAUUUAUACCUUAUGCUAAUUUGCAUGAAUAAACAAAUGUUGUGUUUCA
rnacentral:lncRNA from 1 species